rnacentral:misc_RNA from 1 species
UCAGGCUUUCCACAAUAAGGCAUGCCGGAAAAUUACCUGAUAGCGCCCGGAAUAAAAUUCAGGCAAACCGUAACCAUUUUCUACUCGGGUCCUCGAAAUCGAUCCCGCAAAAGUGAAAGUAAUCCAAGGCACUGGAUUUAAACUCUAACGACAAGAAUGCUUUAAUAGCACGAAGCAAAUGUCAUCUUUUAUUGGGCAAUCCACGAAAGGCGCU